rnacentral:rRNA from 1 species
ACAGGGUGACAGGUGGUGCAUGGUUGUCGUCAGCUCGUGUCGUGAGAUGUUGGGUUAAGUCCCGCAACGAGCGCAACCCUCGCUGUGUGUUAUAUGUGUCACACGGGACUGCCGGUCUUAAGCCGGAGGGAGGUGGGGAUGAUGUCAAGUCAGCAUGGCCUUUAUAUCCUGGGCUACACACACGCUACAAUGGCCAACACAAUAGGUUGCUAAGCCGCGAGGUGGCGCCAAUCCAUAAAGUUGGUCUCAGUUCAGAUUGUAGGCUGCAACCCGCCUGCAUGAAGAUGGAGUUGCUAGUAACCGCAGGUCAGCUAUACUGCGGUGAAUACGUUCCCGGGGCUU